ACCUCCUCCCUUAUUUACAUUUUAUUUCGAUACUAAGUAUUUUAUGAUGAACAUUCUGUUGGUUUUCUUGGUUUCUUUCUUGUCUCUUCUUUAUUUUGAUUUAAACUCUUAUUGAAAUUCUGCUUUGGUUUGAGUUUGAGUCGUUUGAUUUAUUUCCGUAGUUAUUUAAAUUUCUAAUCAUUCAUCUUUUUAUGCCCUAUUUGCUUUAAGAUAAAAGUAUGAAUCUGGGU
rnacentral:misc_RNA from 1 species